UGUAAUAUGGACCCGACUACUCAACAGAGAAAUCAAAUAUAAGAACAUUUAUCAAAAAAAUUCAUGAAAAAAUUAUACUAGAAAAAUCUGUGAGGCAUCCAUCCAAAUAUAUUAUACAAAUUAUCACAAGAGAUUGGCUUGAACUGACGCAUCUUCCAUGAAAGGUUCAGUCCAACAUACUAGAAACAAACAUCCAACAAUCAUGGAGAAUUAAACAUUUGGCUAGGCCUCUUAAAGCUUGAAUAUUAUGAAAAUAAUUUCCUUAUGACUGUAGAUUCUUUAGUUUUGAUUCGGGAAUCAGAGCCUUUCUUCUAACUGAACAUCAUUCAGAAAGAAGCACAUCCAGUUUGGCUCAUGAGACAAUAAUUCUUCCUGUUCCUCCUCUUCAAUUUCGAAUUCAUCUCAGUCAGUUCGAAAAUCAAAGAUGACACAAAACUUCAUCCAUCCAUUUAUCUAUCAAGGAGUAUGCUUUUGUUUAGAUGUAAUAAUAAUUAGAAGAAGAGUACUAGAUGUAUAUGUUCUGUUUCCAUCUAGGAAUAUAAUUGUGCUAGCAAAGAACAUGUGGAAAGUCUACGGAGCCGGCUGGGUGAAUCAGACAGACAUGCAUGGAAUUCAUCGAUAGAACAACCAAGCCAAACCAAUCCAUGGAUGGAAUCACCAAUUUCUCUCUCUGACCAUGAGUGAGUUUCGUCGACACAGACAGACAACGUCUCUCUAUUAGGUGAUGCAACCUGCACCUGCAAGGCAAGGUCGUCCAUCACCUCGCCUCGCCUUGGAGAUGGCAUGGUCGGCUGGUCACAAAAACAGUUAGCUGGAAUGGAUACACGCUCAUGCACAUAUUAUCAGCCGGCCAGCACCGCCGCACCUGUCGAAUCUCCAUCUACAUCACCUACCUAGAGC
rnacentral:lncRNA from 1 species